AGAGUUUGAUCAUGGCUCAGAUUGAACGCUGGCGGCAUGCCUUACACAUGCAAGUCGAACGGUAACAGGUUAAGCUGACGAGUGGCGAACGGGUGAGUAAUGUAUCGGAACGUGCCCAGUCGUGGGGGAUAACUACUCGAAAGAGUGGCUAAUACCGCAUGAGACCUGAGGGUGAAAGCGGGGGAUCGCAAGACCUCGCGCGAUUGGAGCGGCCGAUAUCAGAUUAGCUAGUUGGCGGGGUAAAAGCCCACCAAGGCGACGAUCUGUAGCUGGUCUGAGAGGACGACCAGCCACACUGGGACUGAGACACGGCCCAGACUCCUACGGGAGGCAGCAGUGGGGAAUUUUGGACAAUGGACGAAAGUCUGAUCCAGCCAUGCCGCGUGCGGGAAGAAGGCCUUCGGGUUGUAAACCGCUUUUGUCAGGGAAGAAACGACGUCCUCUAAUACAGGGUGUUAAUGACGGUACCUGAAGAAUAAGCACCGGCUAACUACGUGCCAGCAGCCGCGGUAAUACGUAGGGUGCAAGCGUUAAUCGGAAUUACUGGGCGUAAAGCGUGCGCAGGCGGUUAUGCAAGACAGAUGUGAAAUCCCCGGGCUCAACCUGGGAACUGCAUUUGUGACUGCAUGGCUAGAGUACGGUAGAGGGGGAUGGAAUUCCGCGUGUAGCAGUGAAAUGCGUAGAUAUGCGGAGGAACACCGAUGGCGAAGGCAAUCCCCUGGACCUGUACUGACGCUCAUGCACGAAAGCGUGGGGAGCAAACAGGAUUAGAUACCCUGGUAGUCCACGCCCUAAACGAUGUCAACUGGUUGUUGGGAGGGUUUCUUCUCAGUAACGUAGCUAACGCGUGAAGUUGACCGCCUGGGGAGUACGGCCGCAAGGUUGGAACUCAAAGGAAUUGACGGGGACCCGCACAAGCGGUGGAUGAUGUGGUUUAAUUCGAUGCAACGCGAAAAACCUUACCUACCCUUGACAUGUCUGGAAUCCUGAAGAGAUUUGGGAGUGCUCGAAAGAGAGCCAGAACACAGGUGCUGCAUGGCCGUCGUCAGCUCGUGUCGUGAGAUGUUGGGUUAAGUCCCGCAACGAGCGCAACCCUUGUCAUUAGUUGCUACGAAAGGGCACUCUAAUGAGACUGCCGGUGGCAAACCGGAGGAAGGUGGGGAUGACGUCAGGUCAUCAUGGCCCUUAUGGGUAGGGCUACACACGUCAUACAAUGGCCGGUACAGAGGGCUGCCAACCCGCGAGGGGGAGCCAAUCCCAGAAAACCGGUCGUAGUCCGGAUCGUAGUCUGCAACUCGACUGCGUGAAGUCGGAAUCGCUAGUAAUCGCGGAUCAGCUUGCCGCGGUGAAUACGUUCCCGGGUCUUGUACACACCGCCCGUCACACCAUGGGAGCGGGUUCUGCCAGAAGUAGUUAGCCUAACCGCAAGGGGGGCGAUUACCACGGCAGGGUUCGUGACUGGGGUGAAGUCGUAACAAGGUA
rnacentral:rRNA from 1 species